CAGGUGUCCUGGAGCAUGUUGGAGCAUGUUGGAGUGUGUUCAGGUGCCUUGGAGCGUGUUGGAGUGUCCUGGAGCAUGUUGGAGUGUGUUGGAGCAUGUUCAGGUGUCCUGAAGCGUGUUGGAGCGUGUUGGAGCACACUGAGAUGUGUUGAAAUGCCUCAAAGCAUGUUGGAGCAUGUUCAGGUGUCUUGGAGCAUGUUGGAGCAUGUUGGAGCAUGUUGAGGUAUGCUGAGAUGUCUCAAAGCAUGUUGGAGCGUGUUGGAGCAUGUUCAGGUGUCCUGGAGCGUGUUGAAGCAUGUUGAUGUGUCUUGAAGCGUGUUGAGGUGUCUCAAAGCGUGUCGAAGCGUGUUCCGGCACACCGAAGCACCUCGACACGCGUGUUGAGCCGUGCCGAACCACGCCGCGCCGCGCCGCGGCACGUGGAAGCCUGCUGGCGCGUGCUGAAGCGUGUCGAGGCGUGUUGAAGCGUGUCGAGGCGUGAACGGACCCAGACGCCUCACCUGGACGCGCCCCAUCUCCAGCACACGCGUGACGCAGCCACCCAGAGCCACAUAGACACGUGUCGAGGCGUGUUCAAGCGUGUUGAGGCGUGUUCAAGCAUGUCGAGGCGUGUUCAAGCGUGACGAGGCGUGUUCAAGCGUGUUCAGGCAGGGCCGGGCAGCGGGUGGCUCACGCGGACGCAGCCCCAGUAGCCGGCGCGGAUCAGGCAGGCGGCGGCAGCUGCCACCAGCAAGGCCCAACCGGCGUGGAGACCCCCGAACCGGCGGGCAGCUGCCCACGUGCCGACCUGCGGGACAGGACGCCUGGGUCCCUGCUGCCCGGACGCCUGGGCCCCUUCACCCGGACGCCUGGGUCCCUUUCCACGGACACCUGGGCCCCUUCCCCGGACGCCUGGGCCCCUUCCCAGACGCCUGGGCCCCUUUCCCAGGACGCCUGGGCCCUUCUUGUCCUGGAUGCCUGGGUCCCUCUUGUCCUGGAUGCCUGGGUCCCUCUUGUCCCGGACGCCUGGGCCCUUCUUGUCCUGGAUGCCUGGGCCCCUCUUGUCCUGGAUGCCUGGGUCCC
rnacentral:lncRNA from 1 species